rnacentral:rRNA from 1 species
GUGUUAAUUUUGUUUUACCUGGGUAAUAUUAGUUAAGGUCUUUAAACCCAAAGAAUUUGGCGGUAUUUCAUUCCAUUCAGAGGAACCUAUCUCGUAAUUGAUAGUACACGAUUAACUUUACUUGAUUUAUUUGUUUGUAUAUCUCCGUUAUCAGAAAAUCUUUUUGGAGUUAUAAUUUUCCUGUUUUUUCAUUAGAAAUUAUUUCAGGUCAAGGUGCAGCUUAUAAUCAAGUGUAUGAUGGGUUACAAUAAAUUUUUUUAUUAUGGAUUUAAUUUUGAAAUUUUUUAAUGAAGGUGGAUUUGAUAGUAAUUUAAUUUAUUUAAUUUAAUUGAUAUUGGCUCU